ACUGCACCAGAUGAAUGGCUAAGGAAGACCUGACUCAGGACUUUUGCAAUAGAGACUGAAGCUAUUGCAACAGAAGAGAGAAACUGAAUUCCGCUCUUCUAGAACAAACGGUGAGAGGGUUUUUAAGUGCUGUGGUGAACUAGCGGGAAAGCGCUGAGGGCUGAUGGUGGGGAGCUGGCCUGGGUGAUCAGGCUGCUGCGGUUACUAAGUCCCUCUUGCUGCUGUUAGGCCCCAGCUCUCCCAGAGACCAGGGGCUCCCUUCCUUCAUGGUUACACGUCAGAGGGCCAGCUCCCACGGCCCCGAGAAAGACACUCCAGGAUUACAGAAGAUCUGCAUCUCAAAGGAGCAGAGAAACAAUGUGCAAUUCCAAGUUUCCUGAAGUCUAUGCUCCAAGAAAUAAGAGGUCAAGGGCCUGGAGUCAGGAGAAAUCUUUCUAAAGGCAACUUGCCCAGCCCCCUUCUCUCCACUACACGAAUCCUUGUCAAAACUGCACACCUGCGGUGCGGCGCUGACAGCAGUGGGGGAGACCGUUCAAGAUUGUGACGGUGAUAGAAUGCUCCCAGCUGCAGGUUUUGGUGCAAAACUGCCUCCAGAUGGAAGGAUAGCUCAUGAGUUUGCUUUGGUUCUGGUACUUGGUCAUCUCCCUAUUGGACAUCAUCAGUGCUCUGCUUUUCAUAACCUGGGACAUAGACAAGAUGCUGAAACACCCCUGGCACCCAGCGCUGACCCCAGUGGACUCUCCCGUGGGUCUCCACC